GCUCCAAAGAAGAGGGAAAAUACAAAAAUAAUAUUCUGGUCCGUGGAAUAAGGAAGCAGCUUAUACCAAUAAGAAAUACAAAAACUAGGGAGAAGGUGGACAGAGCAAUAGAAGGCGCACAAAGGGCAGCCGCCAUGGCGAGAACCAAAGUGGAAAUUGCGAAUUCAAGGACUGCACACGCAAGAGCGAAAGCUGACGCUGCUGACCAGGCUGCGCUGGCCGCCCGCCAGGAGUGCGACAUCGCGAGAGCUGUAGCCAGGGAGCUGUCACCUGAUUUCUACCAACCAGGCCCCGAUUAUAUCAAACAGAGAUUGCAGGAAGGUGUAGAUGCUAAAGAAAACCCAGAAGAAAAGGUACCAGAAAAGCCACCUACCCCAAAGGAAUCUCCUCAUUUUUAUCGCAAAGGCACGACACCCCCGAGGUCUCCUGAGGCAAGUCCCAAACAGAGCCACUCUCCCCAACCUCCCUCCCCAAAGUCCAUGAAGAAGCAAAACCCCACCUCUGGGGCCAGACUCAAUCAAGAUAAAAGGAGUAUGGCUGACGAGCAGGUGACAACUGUGGUCAAUAAGCCCUUGAUGUCAAAGGCUCCCUCAAAGGAGGUCGGAGCCAUCGUGUCCCAGUCCAAGUACUCUGGCCGCCACCACAUCCCCACCCCCAGUAAUGGGGAGCUGCAUUCUCAGUAUCACGGCUACUAUGUGAAACUGAACGCCCCCCAGCACCCUCCAGAACACGUGGGGGACGAUGAUGAAGCGAGCCAGUCUUCCUCAGCACUGGUGCACAAGCCAUCGCCUAACAAGUGGAGUCCCCCCAAACCUGUGACAAAACCAGUUGCCAAAGAAAGCAAAGCUGAGCCAAAAGCUAAGAAGUCUGAACUUGCUAUACCAAAGAAUCCAGCAAGCAACGAUUCGUGCCCUUUGGAAAAAGAAGCCAAUUCAGGCCCUAAUUCAGUCAUGAUUGUCCUUGUCAUGCUGUUGAAUAUCGGGUUGGCCAUUCUUUUUGUUCACUUUCUAACUUGAUUGGAAUUAGGAAAGAAGUACAAUAUGUUGAGAAUCCUGGGUGUGACCAAUAUGGAAUAAAGAAGGCGGCAGAAAGAGAGCAAAUGAAAAAUUACAACUUGUAUAUUUAUUUUUUACAUUUUUGCUUUGACUUUUUCGAUUUAGGAAGUACGUUUUUACCCAAGAACAAACGUUUAAGUUCCUGUGUCAGUCUCAGCACUCUCACUGCUCCUCCUAACCCUUUAGCUCCUUAUGCUGGGGAAAGCUGAUUUUUUUUUAAGAAAAUAAAAUAUUUAAUCUUAUUAAGUGUUUAUUUAAAAUGUGUAAUGCUUUGGAGAUAAUGGGUAACAGAUAACUAAAGGAUAUGUUUAUAAAGUGAGCAUGUUUGUUCCAUUUAUAAAUAUAUGUAUGAUUUAUAAGCUUUUUUAAAACAAAGCUCAAAUUGUUGGUAUUUUUCUAAAAUGUGCCCAGCUGUAUUUUACAUGAAGGCUCUUUCUAAUGGGUUGUUAUACUGUACUCUACAUUUUGGACAGCACAUGAAGUCUGCCAAUGUACUUAAUAAAACAUGACUUUGUUUAUUUAAAGUUUCUUGCUGUGAAAAAGAACUCCCUACCUGUGAGUUCCUUUAUUUAUAAUCCUUGAAACCAAAAUGUAUAAUGUACAGUUUUCACAACUGUAUCAGCUCUAAUAAAAAGAAAUCGGUUAUUAAUAAAGUUUGGAGGUGUGUUUCCUUUGUGAGUAAAUUACUGUCUUUUGUGGACUUUUUUUUUUG
ensembl:lincRNA